GAAUUGCUAGUAAUCGUAGGUCAGCAUACUACGGUGAAUACGUUCCCGGGCCUUGUACACACCGCCCGUCAAACCAUGAGAGUUGGCAACACCCGAAGUCGGUAGUCUAACCGCAAGGAGGACGCCGCCGAAGGUGGGGUUGAUGAUUAGGGUUAAGUCGUAACAAGGUAGC
rnacentral:rRNA from 1 species